ACAACCUGACACACACACACACACACGUAUUUAGUGCAAGUCAUCAAAAUCGGCCUGUUCGUCGACAUUGAAAUUAGUAGGAACGAACAGCGUGACCUUUGACCUGACCUUGGCGAACUCAUCGAAGGUGAUCUUCCCGUCCUGGUUGAGGUCCAUGGUCCUGCUGAGCUCCUGGACGAUCUCUCGGAUACGGUAUCCCGGCAGAGGAAGGUUUGCG